rnacentral:rRNA from 1 species
UUUCCCUACGGGGCGCAGCAGUGGGGAAUAUUGCGCAAUGGGGGAAACCCUGACGCAGCAACGCCGCGUGCGGGAUGAAGGCUUUCGGGUUGUAAACCGCUUUCAGCAGGGAAGAUAGUGACGGUACCUGCAGAAGAAGCCCCGGCUAAAUACGUGCCAGCAGCCGCGGUAAUACGUAGGGGGCAAGCGUUAUCCGGAUUCAUUGGGCGUAAAGCGCGCGCAGGCGGGUUGCUAAGCGGGACCUCUAAUCUCAGGGCUCAACCUUGAGCCGGGUCCCGAACUGGCAGCCUCGGGUUCGGUAGGGG